AGGCUGAUACCGCCCAAGAGUUCAUAUCGACGGCGGUGUUUGGCACCUCGAUGUCGGCUCAUCACAUCCUGGGGCUGAAGUAGGUCCCAAGGGUAUGGCUGUUCGCCAUUUAAAGUGGUACGCGAGCUGGGUUUAGAACGUCGUGAGACAGUUCGGUCCCUAUCUGCCGUGGGCGCUGGAGAAUUGAGGGGGGCUGCUCCUAGUACGAGAGGACCGGAGUGGACGCAUCACUGGUGUUCGGGUUGUCAUGCCAAUGGCACUGCCCGGUAGCUAAAUGCGGAAGAGAUAAGUGCUGAAAGCAUCUAAGCACGAAACUUGCCCCGAGAUGAGUUCUCCCUGAGACUUUAAGUCUCCUGAAGGAACGUUGAAGACGACGACGUUGAUAGGCCGGGUGUGUAAGCGCAGCGAUGCGUUGAGCUAACCGGUACUAAUGAACCGUGAGGCUUAACCUUAC
rnacentral:rRNA from 1 species